GACGAACGCUGGCGGCGUGCUUUACACAUGCAAGUCGAACGGAAAGGCCCCUUUGGGGGUACUCGAGUGGCGAACGGGUGAGUAACACGUGAGUAACCUGCCCUUGACUUCGGGAUAACUUCAGGAAACUGGGGCUAAUACCGGAUAGGAAUCCUUGCUGCAUGGUGGGGGUUGGAAAGCUUCGGCGGUUUUGGAUGGACUCGCGGCUUAUCAGCUUGUUGGUGGGGUAGUGGCUUACCAAGGCUUUGACGGGUAGCCGGCCUGAGAGGGCGACCGGCCACAUUGGGACUGAGAUACGGCCCAGACUCCUACGGGAGGCAGCAGUGGGGAAGAUUGCACAAUGGGCGGAAGCCUGAUGCAGCAAGGCCGCGUGCGGGAUGACGGCCUUCGGGUUGUAAACCGCUUUCAGCAGGGGCGAAGCUUGUGGUGACGGUACCUGCAGAAGAAGCACCGGCUAACUACGUG
rnacentral:rRNA from 1 species